rnacentral:rRNA from 1 species
CCUACGGGUGGCAGCAGUGAGGAAUAUUGGUCAAUGGACGCAAGACUGAACCAGCCAAGCCGCGUGAAGGAAGACGGCUCUAUGAGUUGUAAACUGCUUUUGUACGAGGGUAAACGCAGAUACGCGUAUCUGUCUGAAAGUAUCGUAAGAAUAAGGAUCGGCUAACUCCGUGCCAGCAGCCGCGGUAAUACGGAGGAUGCAAGCGUUAUCCGGAUUGAUUGGGUUUAAAGGGUGCGUAGGCGGUCGGAUAAGUUAGAGGGGAAAUCUCGGGGCCCAACUUCGGAAUUGCCGGUGAUACUGUUCGGCUAGAGAGUAGUUGCGGUAUGCGGAAUGUAUGGUGUAGCGGUGAAAUGCUUAGAGAUCAUGCAGAACACCGAUUGCGAAGGCAGCUUACCAGGCUACUUCUGACGUUGAGGCACGAAAGCGUGGGGAGCGAACAGGAUUAGAUACCCGAGUAGUC